UACGUUGGGUGCAAGCGUUAAUCGGAAUUACUGGGCGUAAAGCGUGCGCAGGCGGUGAUGUAAGACAGGUGUGAAAUCCCCGGGCUUAACCUGGGAACUGCAUUUGUGACUGCAUCGCUGGAGUGCGGCAGAGGGGGAUGGAAUUCCGCGUGUAGCAGUGAAAUGCGUAGAUAUGCGGAGGAACACCGAUGGCGAAGGCAAUCCCCUGGGCCUGCACUGACGCUCAUGCACGAAAGCGUGGGGAGCAAACAGG
rnacentral:rRNA from 1 species